rnacentral:rRNA from 1 species
CCUACGGUAGGCAGCAGUGAGGAAUAUUGGUCAAUGGGCGGAAGCCUGAACCAGCCAAGUAGCGUGCAGGAUGACGGCCCUACGGGUUGUAAACUGCUUUUAUACGGGAAUAACGCGCCUUACGUGUAGGGCUUUGCAUGUACCGUAUGAAUAAGGACCGGCUAAUUCCGUGCCAGCAGCCGCGGUAAUACGGAAGGUCCGGGCUUUAUCCGGAUUUAUUGGGGUUAAAGGGAGCGUAGGCCGCAUGUCAAGCGUGAUGUGAAAUGUCCGGGCUCAACCCGGGCCCUGCAGCGCGCACUGGCGGGCUUGAGUCCACGGAAGGCAGGCGGAAUUCGUCGUGUAGCGGUGAAAUGCUUAGAUAUGACGAAGAACCCCGAUUGCGAAGGCAGCUUGCUGCAGCGGAACUGACGCUGAUGCUCGAAAGCGCGGGUAUCGAACAGGAUUAGAUACCCCUGUAGUC